GGAUUAUAUGGCAGAGUAGAUCCAGUCUCUGUCUCAGAAUGGGUCAUCAGAGAAGUGAGAUGAGAGAUGGGGAUCCAGAAUCAUGAAGUUGGGAGAGAUCAGAAGGACCAUCCAGUCCAACCACUGUCAUGCAGGAAUAUAUAAUCAGAGCUGGAAGGGUCUUAUUGUUGAAAUAAUCAGGUAGGUCAACCUAUACUGCUUUGCUUUCAUGAUGGGCAGUGAAUUGGCCACCACACAGUAAAACAAGGGUUGGAAUCCCAGUGAUUAUCCCUAUCAUGUAAUACCAGGUCCCAGUUAAACAAACAAAGGUUUCCCAAGAAACAGGAGAGUUAAGCAAAGUCCCAGUAUAUGAAAAGAAUCAGCACCAAAUGCUAGAGUCCUUGUAGGUUAGUAGUUUUAACGUACACACACAAGUCAUUGGGAGAGAGAUAAAGCCCAAGUUCUGAGUCCAAAUUGUCAUGGUCACACCAAAAGAGUUUCAGAGUUCAUUCAAGAACAAACACAAACCUGAAUUCCAAUUCAAGGUCAACAAAUCCAGUAGCCUGAAAACAACAAAGUCAGAAGUCCAAAUCAGAAACCAAAAUGCAGCAGUCAAGCAUACAGUCCAGAAUCAACAAAACGAAUAAUUCGAAGAGCAUCAGAGUCUAGGUUCACACCACAAAGAAAAAGCAUUGUCUUCUUUGACAAGGAUGAAGCCUUGAGAGCCUUUUAUUCUAUGUUUGCAAGUGUUGCCUGUGUAGAGCCCAUUUCUCUGCUAAUCGGGCAGAUCUGGGAGCCUCAGCAUGCUAUUAUCUGCGAGCUCCUUCAUUCCCAGUUCUCCUCUCCUCCUCACUGUUCCUAAGUUAUUUAUUAAAUUUUAAAGUCAUAUUUGUCUAUAUUUUAUUAUUUAUGGCUGGAAUUGAAAAACUGCUUUAAAAAUAAUUAUGGAGGAGUGAGAGUGUGGAAAGGUGGAAUUAUGAGAGUAUUUGGAAGUACAGUAAUGGGAUCAUGGCUGAGUAAAAUGCGCAAUUGUGCAGAUGAAGAGAUAUGUGAUAAUGAACGUGCUCAUCAUGUCAGUAUGUAUCCUGUUUCAAUGAUUGCUGUAGAAUAGCAGCUUUGUGCAAUAAAGUCAAGUAGGAGUAAUGACAUGGAACCCAUAGUUCACAUGUGAAACAAGAUAUUUGGAAAUGCAUGAAAAUGUUCAUAAAACUAAAUUUCAGUUCUACCAACAGUUUAAAUCAAAUGUAUUUGAUUAAAACAGUUAUUAUCCUUUCUGUUCAGAAAAAAGGGGAAAUGUUCUUACUGCUCUUAAGGGUUCCAAAAAACCAUUGUUAAGACCAUGUUUUAAUAAUAUUUUAAAAUGUAUUUCAGGGGUUGAGGAAAUUAAACAUCCCAUUCACAGCUUGCCACUUCAGCACUCAGUAGGAACAUUUUCUUGAGUUAAUUAAAUACAAGAAUUCUCAUUAAACUCUUUGCUGUAAUGAAAGCUUAUAAUCAUGUCAGCGAAGGGCUCGGUCAACAUUCCAUUGAAUCCUGAUAGCUGAAACUCAGCACUGAUCUUUUCAACUGCAUUAUGGUAGCUAUCCAAACCAAUGGUUACUUUUGAAAGAGGGAUGGUAAAACUUGUUUAGGUUUUUUCAGUGCGUGCAGGUUCAGAAGAAUAGCCCCUUUGUUCAGAGAUGAGCAACUCAAAAUAGAAGAAUGCAAAACUCAAAUUUACUCUUGUAUAAGCAGAGUUCAAGAAAACAGCAACUUCAACACAAUACAGUAAUACGGUCACAGUUCUUGUCAUGGUUUUCAAAGGCACUGUGCUGUGUGUGUUAACUGGAAAAUGAAGUGCAUGAAGCUGAUUGGCUGAGCCUGCAAAGACCUGGGGAUUAAUUUGAUACUGUUUCUGUUCUGCUGCUGCAAAACCUGUUUGGACAAUUUUUUUCAGUGCUGGCUGAAUACUGCUAAUGCAGAGAGCAGUGUACUCAGAGAGAUACCUUGUUAUUUUGAGGCCUGUUUGCUGCUGAGGAAAGAGGGAGAAGAACCAGGACUGCACUCUUCUCUGAAGCAGAUGUAUGGACUGAGGAAGGAUUGCUUAUGACUGUAGACUUCUUGUACUUUCCCCUCUCCCAUUUUGGCAGCUGGAGGAAGAUCGUGGUGUGUCUAUGGGAGAAGGAUUUCAGCAAGGAAGCUACAGUUGUGCAUCCUGAUGGUUGCUUCCCUCAGGGGUUUCUCAUUUAUUCCAAACUGGCCAAGUCAAAACCCCACAUCUGUGCUGUGGAGAAAAGGAGGAAGGGGACUGAAUUUGCAGCCAGAAGACGUAUACAUUCCCAGCAGCUCCUUGCAAAGCCAGCACCUGCUGUGAGACAUUGAUGUAUCGAGACUCUGUGCGUGAUGUUAUAAGGACUCAUGUGAAAUAAAACUAAAUCUUUUACCACCUCUCAGGACCAUCUGGAAAACCUCUUGAUGCAUUUUAUGUCUUCAUCAUAAUCUAUUCUGCUAUGCAUGCCUGCCAAGCAACACAGAUUUGGAGGGAUGGGGAAAGAAAUUAAAAUAGGCCUAGAGUAGAGUCCUAUGUGUAAUCUAUUCACAACUUCAAUCCCAAUGAGUUCAAAAAAAGUUGUUCCCAGAUAUAUAAGUUCAAGAUUACAGCUUGACUCUUAAAAAGUGUUCUUUAAAAUAGUAUUUCUAUCUUGAAAAUGUUUACCUAACUCCAGAAUGCAUGGAGUAGUGUCAGUUGUUUAUUUCUAAUCAAAAGAUGGGUUUCUUGAUUCGUCAGAAGCUUGAUCAGAAAGAAGGAUACAUUGGUGAAAAUUUUGCAUAAUAUUUGUGCAACAAUUUUAAACAAAAAAUAUUGGGGAAAUCCAGGGAUUUUAGACAAAAAAGAACCAAGUGUUUUCGUUACACAGGAUUGACGUCUUCGGUACAAGAUAUUUAUCGUGCAAGAUUGUUGUAUUUUGCACCAAAAAAUACAAUGGAGCCUGGAAAACUUGACAAUUUUGCAGAAUAUCUUCCUGAAAUAGUUAUAAACAUGAAUAUUCAUAUUAUUUGCAGCCAGGAGAAAACUGGAAAUUCCCACCUGCAAAGGUGAAAUGCAGUUUAACUUUAACUAUCCUUGAUGGGAAGGGAGCUGAUGGGCAGGUCUGGCAGUAGGUAGCCAAUCACAGAUCAGGGAGACUGUGAAAGGGGUGGGCUGUGGGUGAUUAGAAUUAUUAAAAGGACAAGACUAAACUGAUUCUAGUUUUUGGGAGCAGAGAAAGAAUGUGAACUUCAAAGAUUAAUGUGGUGUACUAAUGUGUUUUAAUAAAUUUACAUUUGUCAUUCU